rnacentral:lncRNA from 1 species
UGAAAACAUUUAACUUCAUCUUCAUCUGUACAAAGCCAUCACCAAUCAUCGGCUCGUGUUCGUUUUUGCA